rnacentral:misc_RNA from 1 species
GAUGAAGAACGUAGCGAAAUGCGAUACGUAAUGUGAAUUGCAAAUUCAGUGAAUCAUCGAGUCUUUGAACGCACAUUGCGCCCCCUGGUAUUCCGGGGGGCAUGCCUGUCCGAGCGUCAUUGCUGCCCUCAAGCACGGCUUGUGUGUUGGGCCCCGUCCUCCGAUCCCGGGGGACGGGCCCGAAAGGCAGCGGCGGCACCGCGUCCGGUCCUCGAGCGUAUGGGGCUUUGUCACCCGCUCUGUAGGCCUGGCCGGCGCUUGCCGAUCAACCCAAAUUUUUUAUCCAGGUUGACCUCGGAUCAGGUAGGGAUACCCGCUGAACUUAAGCAUAUCAAUAAGCGGAGGA